ACCAACACAGUGGGUAUGUCAGUACAUUGCCCUCAGCAGCUAACAGAUGGUGCAGAAGACCCAGUGACUAAGAUUACGUAAGGACACAGAAAACCAAAUAGCACAGCUAAUAACUUGACCUAUGGGGGGGGGGGGUGUUUGUGUAAAACACAUUGCACCCUUUAAUUGGAAGCACUGUUUGUAAACCACAUCUAACAGUGUACAACAAUUGGUCACCAAAUUGGGUUUAUCUCAGGGAUGCAAGUUUGAUUAAUAUUAGAAAAUCAAUGUGGUUGAUAUUUACUAGAUUAGAGUUGUAUGAUCAAGCCAGGCAUGGAUACGGCACAUGCCUGUAGUCCUAGCAACUCAGGGCUGAGACAGGAGGAUCGCAAAGUUCAAGUCCAGCCUCAGCAAUUUAGAUCUUGUCUCAAAAAGGAUUGGAGGUGUAGCUUAGUGGUAAAGCACCCCUGAGUUCUGUUUCCAGUAUCACCAAAAAAAAAAAAAAAGUAGUAGUAGUAGUUAUGAGAUCAGAUUGUUUAUGAAAAUCUAAAGAAUGCACAAGGCGGCCAGGCAUGAUGUUGCAAACCUGUAAUCCCAGCAACUCAGGAAGUCUGAGGUUGGAGGGAUUGUGAUUCAAGGGUAGCCUCAGCAAUUUAGCAAGACUCUGUCUCAAAAUUAGAAAGAAAAAGGACUGGGGAUAUAGCUGAAUGGUAAAGUGCUCCUGUUCUUUCCCCAGUAACCAGAGAAAAACCAAAAGAAAAGAAAUCUAUGAGGCAAAUAGAAUAGUUAAUAGUUUAUCAGGAUUAUAGUUAUUUUUAAUUAAAAAUCUUGACUGCUUCUAAGUAGAUAUAAUUUUUUAUAAAAAAUACAGUCUGAGUGCUAAGUAAAUACAACUUUUUUUAUUGAAAACGUGAAUGCUUCUAAGCAAGUAGAUUUUUUUCCCCCCCGUUGAAGCUUAUCAGGGUUUCUGGGACAAAAUCAAUAGGCAAG
rnacentral:lncRNA from 1 species